UACGGAGGGUGCAAGCGUUGUUCGGAAUCAUUGGGCGUAAAGGGCGCGUAGGCGGGUCGUUAAGUCCGACGUGAAAUCCCUCGGCUCAACUGAGGAAGUGCAUCGGAUACUGGCGGUCUUGAGUCCUGGAGAGGGUAGCGGAAUUCCCAGUGUAGAGGUGAAAUUCGUAGAUAUUGGGAGGAACACCGGUGGCGAAGGCGGCUACCUGGACAGUGACUGACGCUGAGGCGCGAAAGCUAGGGGAGCAAACGGG
rnacentral:rRNA from 1 species